rnacentral:tRNA from 1 species
GGAGUUGUAGCUCAAUGGUAGAGCACUUACCUAGCACACAUGAAGCACUGGGUUCGGUCCUCAGCACUACA